AUGACCUCUCCAGCUUCACAGGAUUACACUGACGGAAACAGGAUGAUCCUGAUGGAUAUAGAAGGCAGAUGUGUGAUGGUCACCGAGGACCUGAAACUGUGUGCUGUUGACCGUCAAGAAAAUGAAUCUUGGGUACAGAUAAAGGAACGCACACAUGAAGAGAACAUUUUACUGGCUAUACUCUUCUUGUAUAAUGGUCGUCAGUAUUAUGCCAAGGUGGAUGGAAACAAUGUGGUGUUGGAGAAGGCUGAUUGCUGUCAAGUCUCAGAGAGUAUCUGGUUCAUGAAGGUACGAUCGGGAUCUGGUGACCAUUACGGCCUGCGAUCCAUGGUUGGUCAGAAGAAAUACCUCUCUUAUAGCGAGAACAGGCCACGCAAUUUCCUCCUCGGUGAAAUGAAUCGUUUCUUUUCUCUUCAGCAAGCUUGAGCAUGAGUGUGUUUGUGUAAAGUGUGUUUUCCAUUAUUCUUACCAAAGUCAAUUUGUAUUCGGUUUAUUUUUCUGUUUUAUUGGGCUUUUAUUUUUUCAGAAUGUUUGCCCACUUCAAAAUAGAAAAAAAAAUAGAGUAUUUAAAGAUGACAUGAAAAGUCAAGGCAUCACCAGAGUCAGUAGGAAUCCCCUUCUGGGAACAAUGGAUAUCUGUGCAAGAUGUCAUGUAAAUCCAUAAAGUUUGGGGGACUUGGAAAAGACAGAUUAAAUGGUCAAAAGGGCCUGAGAUAUCCUGGUUUUUAAUCCCUACUAUGGGUGAGACUCCAACACUGGAUCCUUAACUUCCCACACUAUAAUUUAAAUUUAUGUCUGAUCAUUUGAUAUAUGAGCCUGCUGGCAAAUUCUUUUAAACGUGCCUUUCAAACUCUUUGGCCUAGUUUGUACUUGUCCUCCUGAACUAUGGAAGACAUGCAACUGUUUCUGAAGUUGAGUAGUUCUCCACAUGAUGAGUAAACUGAUCUUCAAGGAUAAAAUUGGUUUCCCUUUUGAUGUGAAAAUAUUCCUAAAAUGCUUUUUUUUUAAUGUGUGUAUUUAAGUGGGGAAAGGGUGUUUUAUUAUUUUUUGAGACAUUUAUAUGUACUGUAUGUCUCGGAAGCAGAUUGAUGUUUAUUUGACAUAGUUGACGUUGUAGUUAAUUAGCAAAUAUCCUUGUAUUUCAUGUUUUUUUAUUCUAUAAUUAUGCAGCUUCAUCAGUGUCAUUUCUCAUUUUCAUUCUAAUAGUGUAACUAUGUAACUAUGUAAACAUAAGCACAAGUUGUAAUAAACAGUUGUAUAUCCUGAAUUGUGUCCUAGUGCAUUAGCAAGAGUGUGCAAGAGAAAUUUCGUUAAAUUGGGUUCAAAUCUGAGUCACUCUCAUUCUCUUCCCAUACACUAUUAUGUAAUAUUUUGCUGUUGAUAUGAAAGGAAAUCUUAUAGGUGUAAAGUUAUUUUCAGCCACAACCACUAAACUCUUAAGCAAUCAGCCCAUAUGAGUCCUCUCUGCAGUUUCACAAGUAAUUUUCAUUUUCUUCAUUCAUGAGUAAAACUCACUCAGGUCUCAACCUGUCAGGCAAAAGUAUUAGCAGACAUUUCU
rnacentral:lncRNA from 15 species